GGAGGAGUAGUAUAGUGGUAGUACUUACGAUCUCGUGGCAGGCCCUACCUGCUUAAAAUUCGUAGGGCAUAGGUUUAAUUCUUGUCUCCCCCA